CCAGCAGCCGCGGUAAUUCCAGCUCCAAUAGCGUAUAUUAAAGUUGUUGCAGUUAAAAAGCUCGUAGUUGAAUUUCUGGGUAGUCUGUUGGGUCCGCAACGUGCGUGACACUGACAGGCUGCCCAUCCUUGUAGGGAAGCUGCCUUCACUGGUAGUGGACCUACAUCCUUUACUGUGAGAAAAAUAGAGUGUUUAAAGCAGGCGUUCGCUUGAAUACAUUAGCAUGGAAUAAUAAGAUAGGACUUCGGUCUAUUUUGUUGGUUGCGGUCCGAAGUAAUGAUUAAUAGGGAUAGUUGGGGGUAUUCAUAUUUAAUUGUCAGAGGUGAAAUUCUUGGAUUUAUUAA
rnacentral:rRNA from 1 species